GCCCCGCCCACCCCGGCGGGGGAGCAGACAAGCUUCUCGGGCUGGUGAGUGCUGGUCAGCCUCGAUCAUCUGUGCGGGAAACUCUCUGCUCUGCCCUCCGCACCCCUGUUGCUGUGCUGUCCUCCGCGGCUCCGAAGCUCCCCGACUCCGUCACCCGCAGUCUCCGCCCGCGAAGGGGCUUCUAGUGUGUGGAAACCUUUCCUCCUUCACAGCUCCCUCCCUCUGGUGCAGUGUUUCUCCGAUGCAGGUAUUCUCUGCAUAAUGCUGUCCAUAAGGAUAAAGAAAACAAUGGCAUAAAGAUGGAUCAUCUGGGAAGACCAGGCUGUCCCCUGGAGUCACCAAGGACAGGAGUUCUUGGAGGGCAGGAAGAUGAGAUGAGAGAAGAUGCCCCACUAUUCGUGAGGGUAGCAAGAGAGCCCAGGGAUUCUGAGGCUGAGAUCUGUGCCCCUGGGCCAUCAGUUUGAGAGUGGCUAAGCCUGCAAGGAGUCCUGUGACAUCUUAUCUCAGAUGGGGGAGGUCUUCUGAGACCCUCAUUAUCUGUGUUUAUACUGGAAAAAAAGAUAAUAAAUAU